CGCACCAAAAAAAAAAAACCAUUACCUCAAAAAUUUAACAAACAAAAACAAAGAAGAGAAGCAAGAGACAUAUUUUUCUCCUGUUGGGUUGGGAGGUGGUGUGUUUUGUCAAUGGGUAUUUUUUGCAUUUCUUUCAUUU
rnacentral:ribozyme from 1 species